rnacentral:rRNA from 1 species
AACGUAGGAGACAAACGUUAUCCGGAGUUACUGGGCGUAAAGGGCGUGUAGGCGGUUUGUUAAGUCUGGCAUGAAAGCUCUCGGCUAAACCGGGAGAGGUCGUUGGAUACUGGCAAACUAGAGGACGGUAGAGGCGUGUGGAAUUCCGGGUGUAGUGGUGAAAUGCGUAGAGAUCCGGAGGAACACCAGUGGCGAAGGCGACGCGCUGGGCCGUACCUGACGCUAAAGCGCGACAGCAUGGGGAGCAAACGGG